rnacentral:lncRNA from 1 species
CAGGUUCUUGGUGGACAGCUCUCAUAUCCCCUCCCGGGAACACGAUGAGAAAGGUCUUUGGAAAAAUAGCUUUAUGAAGGCCAGAGGAAAUUUAUGCACCAGCAAGGCAUGUCGGAAAGGUAAGAAAAACGAAAUGUUAAAAGUAACUUUAGUCGUUACUUGAGAGAAAACAAACAUAGAUAGUGUUACUGGAUUACAUUUCAUUUAAAAAUAUAAAGUCACGCAACCUGUGUUACCGAUGAUAGUUGCUUUGAGAGAGAAGAAAACCCUACCACCGCCCUCUCUCCCAACGCUGAUGCAGCCGGCUACAAAUGCAAUUUAUUUGAUCAUUGUAACGGAGAGAGGUGGCCUUACUGUUUUAGGAAUAGUAUGUCUCUAGAUACACUGGGCUCUUUGGGAGAGCAUGUGUGAAUUUCCGUAGAAAGAGGAGAAAAUAAAAAGGAAAUAGCUAUUAGCUGACAUCUAUUAGUUAUUAGUUAAUAUUAGUUAAUAUCUAUAAACUAAUUAAAUUUAAAUGGAGAAAACAGAACUUUUACCAGCUCAAUAGAGCCAAAGAUCAGAUUAAGAGGCCAAAACCCAAUCCUUGUUACCUGACUCUUCUAUUCUAAGAUUCUAAAUUUUUUUCUAAAGAGAGAUUGAAAGCACGUGAGCAGGGGUGAGGGGCAGAGGGACAGAGAGAGAGAAUCCCAAGCAGGCUCCACACUCAGUGCAGAGCCAAUGUGAGGCUUAAUCGCACAAUUCUGGCAUCGUGACCUGAGCCAAAAACAAGAGUCAGACGCUCAACCGACUGAGCCACCCAGGCACCCCUCCUCACUUUUAAAUUUCAUAGCUUUUAAAUUCCAUAAAUGUUUUCCAAACUAUGCCAAUUAUUAGAAAAUAUACAAUUACAGAGUUUUCAAGUUUCUUGAGCUUGUUUGUCUUUCUAUUGGUAGGUAACUCGGCUCGCAUCUUUCAAAAAGCGACAUUUGCACCGUCAGUUUUCAGGAUUAUAAACACUGUGGUUUCAUAUGAGUGUGUGAAAUUUAUUGAUAGCUUCUGUUUACUGCCUGUAGCUGAGAGAGGAAUCUUGCUUAGGUGCAGGGUUUAGAGACUGAAGCAGCUCCCUUACCAAAGCUCUGCUUUUGUUAGCAAGCCGUGUAUAUCUCAAACGGUGCCUCGGUGUUGCUGAUUUUUGUGUUAAAAACUGUCAUAAUUUGGAGAAAUGGGCACAUGAAGUAAUAGUUUUUAAAUGGGUAAGAAGUUCUGUGAGAAAUUAUACACUUUAUGUUUCCCAACUUGCUAACAACCUUUAAUACACAAUACCAGAGGAGAUUUAUUUGUGAGCCUGCCAUGAAAUGGUAUUUAUGACCAAUAUUAUUAUCUUUAAAUGAGUAAAUAUGUACAGAAUUAUUUUAGAGACAGUGUAAAAAGUGAUGAAGUGAUGCCCAGCCUACAAGUUAAACUUUAAUCUUUAAAUUUUGAAGGAAGGAGGAAGCAAGGAGGCAAGGAAGCAAGGAAGGAAGGAAGCAAGGGAGGAAGGAAGGAAGGGAGGGAGAGAGGGAGGAAUGAUGAUGGGAGGGACAGAGGAAAGAAAAAAUGUUUACUUAGUGCUAGUAUUCAUUCAAUCACAUUUCUGCACAUCAUAAAACAAGAGGCUUAUUCAUAGUACCUUCCUCUUAUACAGUCAGUUUCAUUUGGGAUUUUACAGUUUUAUCUCUGUUCACAAGAUCUACUUCAAUCACUUAUUAACCUACAGUGUUUAUAUUCUUCUUCUCUCUCGUAGUGUUGUAGGUGGUUGAAUUUUCUGCUACAACGCCAUAUAGAGUAGUAAAACAUUCUUCAAGCAUUGAAAACCUUCCAAGUGGAAGUUACAUGUGGUUACAAUAAAGUUCUAACAAUUUCUAAACAUCCUCUCAUAGAGGAAACAUCGUGGUAUUGCAAUCUCUCUUCAUUGCUUCUGGCGUUGAAAUAUAUCUAUGCUUCUAUAAAUGUCAGGGAACCCACUACUGUUUUUUGAAGUUUACAAGAUUUCCCUCUGGAGAAGUUGGAUAGAUGUUUGUCCUUUUACUUCUGUUGUACCUUAAUUUGGGGGCCUAUUUGUGCUUAUAAGAAUGUUCACAGGGCUGAAGAACAGGAUGAAAAUGCAUCCUGUAAAGAAAUUCAAACUUAGGGGCGCCUGGGUGGCUCAGUAGGUUAAGUGUCCAACUCUUGAUUCUGGCUCAGAUCAUGAUCUCAUGGUUGUGAGCUCCUGCUUCGGGCUCUGCAAUGAGUGUGGGGCCUGCUUAAUAUUCUCUCCCUCCCUGUCCCUUUACCCCUCCCCCGCUUGAGCUCGUGUGUGCACUGUCAAAAAAAAAAAAAAAGAAUAAAAAAUGCAAAAUGUAAAGAAUACAAGUUCACAUAAACUUUAAAUCUGUCUCAUUCAGACAGAACAAGAAAAAUGACAACUCUAGUUGUGCUUUUCUCAAGAUAUAUUGUUACGUGGUUUUAGAAUCAACAAUCUAAGUAAUUUAAGAUAUAUCUGUUAAAAUCUCAGGUUGUGAGUACUGACAUACUUUGGGGAUAUCUGUAAAACACAUAGUUUUUUGGAACAAUACUCAAAGGGAAAAAAAUAUGGCACCGAAAAUAUGCUACUUUGGCAUAAUGAUUACUUUGAAUGAAGUUAGUUAGGAAACAGCCAGUACAAGAAAGUCACUCUGAUCCUCCUCUGUCUCCCUGAAAGCAGGAAAUAAAUCUCCCAUGUGAGGGACCCUCCCUGCACCAAGAGGGUAGAAGGCAUUGUUAUCACCAGAGAGAGGGUAUUUAGGGCUGAGAGGACUGUGUAAACAAAUAUUUACUACCUCAAGCCCAAACUUCUUUGACUUGUCAAUUCUUCAAAAAUUUAUUAUUUCUGCAGCACCUGGCUGGCUCAGUCAGUACAGCACACAACUUUUAAUCUCAGGGUUAUGAGUUCAAGUCCCAUGCUGGGUGUGGGGCCUACAAAAAAAAAAUAGUUCUUAGUCUGGAAGAAAUCUGGUCACGUUUUUGAGUCUCAUAUCUUCAUGGGCUCCCGUAUGUAUGAAAUUGAAUCUUUCUCUCCUGUUAAUCUAUCUUAUGUCAAAUUUAACGAUUAGACCAGCCAAAGAACCUAGAGUGGAAGAAGGAAAAAGUUUUCCACCCCUACAUUUUAUUGGUAUAUUAUUAUUUACUCAGUUAAUGGGUUUAGUUUUAGGAACUUCAUUUAAAGCCAUCAGAAAUUUAAAAACCUGUAUACCUAAUUUGCCAUUUUGGAAACAAACACACUAUAGCAUCAGAUUUCUUCCUGAUUUUAUAAGAACUCCAUUUAGAGUAUUUCUGUUAUCUCAUUACCAUCUCUAUUAUACAGAGAUGCACAAUCACUGUCAUGUUACAAAUGAAUAAAAUACAGGCACAGACAGCACAGGGAGUCUGGAUUAAAAAAAAAGAAAAUAAAAAUAAAGAAAGGUCAAGGAAAUAAGAAAGGCUAGAAUAAUAUCUCCUUUCAUCCAAAAUUAAUGCUCCAGAGUCCAUGGAAAUUUUCUUCCAGGCCUUAGUUCAGAAGUGCCUGGUUUUAGCAAGAUCCCACAAGAUUUGAGAACCUAACAAUACUUUUGGGAGAGACGGAGGGAGGUUGAGGAUUUGGGAAAAGUGACCUUGGCUAACUGAGAAAUAAGACUGAGCUUCCUUCCUUCCCUCCUAAACACACAGUUCUCAUGAUGCGGCAGUGAAUAUAAAUGGGAUGUUUAGAAAUUGAGUCAUAUAAACACAAUUUUGACAACCGUAGGUGUCUAAAAGGAGUCCCCUGGCCUUUUGUAUGAUGGGUGCCCAACAAUACCUCUUUCAACCCAGGAGCUCAGCUUCUCCUCAGAAAUUAGGCCAUCCGCCAUUUCCCCCUUCACUCGCCUUACAUAAUCACCAACUUGACAUUUUAAUUAAACAGAUAGCACCCACUGCAGCUGACAAUUUAUGAGGCUUAUAAAUUCGUGACUGAAAAAGGACGUCGCAAUCUUCUGACGAAAGGUGCUCAUGAGUUGAUAAGUUACGUUAUUGUUGCUUUCUAUCCAGCACCCUCAGCUCACCUGAUUCCUUCUUGUUAGCCAUUCUACACUUUUUAAAACUAAGAAUAGAUGGCCAAUUCAGAUAAUGCCACCUAUUUUAAAGACACUAUAAAUCACUGCUGACAAAUGCUGUAUACUUUUAGCCAUGGCACCUUCUCCAUGGCAGCUUUAUAUUGGAGCAUUAACAAAAUUAAUUGCUCUUUCAUAAGGGCUGAGAUUUGUAAUUUAUGAUAACUGUUUGUUCACUGCAGGCAGAAAGAUUAAAAAUGAGUAAACCAAUAUACCAGCUAAACUGCAUGUGUCUGGUUUUAUUUUCUUUUGUGGAGGGGGAAUAGGAGAGGGUUUUAAAAACAGCUUGAUGUUAUCUGGAAUGGUUUCUCAUGGGUUCUACUACUCAAGGCUUAACUUUUGUUUUCAGUAAAUAAUAGCUGCUCAGAUUUACAUGUCCUAUUAACUAGCGCUAUUAUUUAUAUGUAGUUAGGCAGAGCGAUCGGAAUAAGAAAAUCAGUAUUAAUGGUUUUCCUUCAUAACAGUUGCACCCUCAUGAUGAUACAGCUUUACAGUUAUUUAAAGAAUCACAGUGGCUUAUGUAAAGCUAAUCUGAAUCAUCGUGGUAAGAGCACUUGAUCAUUUCUUAAUGUGCUUUGGGCAAAUUACGCCACCUCUCUGUGCCUCAGUGUCCUCGUCUACAAACGAUAAUGUUCAUUGUGUUAUAAUAAUACAAACAAAAUAAUCAUGUUGAUCACUUUAUUUGGUAACUGUGAUGCUUACAUGAGUUAAUCCAUGUAGAGCCCUUGGUACAGUGCCCAGCACAUAGCAAGUGCUUAAUAAAUGUUAACUGUAAAACUAUUAUAUUGUAAUAGUCGUAGUCGUCAUCAUAGCAGUGAUGUUACAAAACAAACAAAAACCACUAUCGGUCAGAGCCUACAUUGUCUUCUGAAUAUUAAACAUAAGGAGCUGACCAUUAGAGAUGCUAAGUGCCUUGGCUAAAGUAUCUGUUCCUCAGAUUCCUAGGACUUACAAGUCUUGCAGCUUUGACUUCAGCGAUGUACACAUUACAGGUGGGGUGCGUGGGUGGCUCAGUCAGUUAAGCCACUGACUUGGGCUCAGGUCAAGAUCGCACAGUUUGUGAGUUCCAGCCCCACGUCCGAAUCUACGCCUGCGGAGCCUAACUGCGAUUCCUGCGCGCGCGCGCGCUCUCUCUCUCUCUCUCCCUCUCUCUCCGCCCCUUCUAUGCUCUCUCUCAACAUAAGUAAGUAAACUGGGGUGCCUGGGUGGCUCAGUCAGUUAAGCGUCCUGGGUGGCUCAGUCGGUUAAGCGCCCGACUUCAACUCAGGUCACGAUCUCGCGGUCCGUGAGUUCUAGCCCUACGUCGGGCUCUGUGCUGACAGCUCAGAGCCUGGAGCCUGCUUCAGAUUCUGUGUCUCCCUCUCUCUCUGCCCCUUCCCUGUUCAUGGUCUGUCUCUGUCUCAAAAAUAAAUAAACAUUAAAAAAAAUUAAAAAAAGCCAUAAGUAAACUUAAAAAAGUUGCAGAUGAAGUGGAAGUUAGAAACAUAACCUAAAAGAUGCCCCGUUUCUUUUCUUUUUUAAACCAAAGAUUCAGAAGUUAUCUUACUGCUGAGACUUCUCCCAAAAAAGCAGACCAAAGAAAAUUUUUACUUGAAAUUGAAGACAGAAGUAACAGAACAAAGAAGAUUUUGAGAGUGCCCCUCUGUUUUCUACCACAAGAUUCCAGCACACCACUCUUCAGACACUGCCCCCUGGUGUGGGUCUGGAGAGCAAUGAGAAUGUGACAGAUAGAAACUAGACUUUGGAGCCUCAGAAAAAAUUUCACAUGAAUAACAAUCAGACUGGUCAUCUAUUGGUUAGAAUCUUCUCAGAUAACCUGAAAGAGACAGAGACAGAGACAGAGAGACAAACAGAGAGAGUUUAGGGAUGUUAGCAGCCUAUUUAUUUGUGUUAUCAAGCUUUAAUUAACUUCUAUUAUUAAUAAAUGUCUAGUAGUAAUCAGGAUAAUGGCAUAAAGAGAACUUCUACUUUAAAUCCCCAAGUCACCUAAUGUAAACUAAGAUGAUGAGAUGAUUUUGAGUUAUUUUUAAACUGAAUCUCACAUUGAAAUGAUUGUACUUAAUCUGUAGCAUUAUACAAGAUAAAUACAGUAAAACCCGGUCAAGUGGAUCUCUCUUGUCAGAUCUUUUAAUUAUGUGACUUUCUUUUUUUCCCCUGUGACUUCUUUGGAGAGAUUGGAUAAGUAAACUAUGACCACUUCUCAUACAUUAGAUUAAAAACAAGAGAGAAGAAGACCUCCAGAUUUUUUAUUCACACUGUGUAACCAUCAAUGGAGUUUAGAGUAACACGACAACAAUCACUGAUGAAAGAUUCAGCCACGUUCAUUAUCCUAGUUUCCUAACUUCAUUGUGGCAGAAAAUAGCUAGAAUAUUUUAUUAAAAACAAAUGUACCAAAAAAGUCAGCUAAACUUUCAUCCUGUUCAUCCCAAUAUGUUAUUCCCUUUUCUCCCAGUGCUUUCCCCAAUUGGUGACCAAAACUCCAGUUAUCAAUCACAGGAUUUACCUGCCUCAGGAAUAAUAAAUUUCACACAAUUUGCUGUUUUUCUUCUAGUGUUUGUUAAUUUGUUUCAAUGGCAAGGCACACUUUGCGAAUUACAAGAAACAAUAUCCAAACUAUUAAUGAAUUGCUCAAGUGGGAAAGAUAUGAGAGACAUACAUUUUCUGACUUUUUCACAUAAUUAAGAUAAAAUUCUUGAUUUGUUAUUUAGUUGCAGAUGGAGGAAUAAUUUUCUCUUUGAUAAUAGGGUAUGGUUUUUCAAAAUGUUUAUUUAUUUUUGGGAGAGAGAGGCAGAGAGACAGAGAGACAGAGGGAGAGAACAUGAGCGGGGGCGGGGGGGGAGAGAGAGAGAGAGGGAGACACAGAACCCGAAGCAGGCUCCAGGCUCUGAACUGUCAGCACAGAGCCAACACAGGGCUCGAAUUCGUCACCUGCGAGAUCAUGACCUGAGCCAAAGUCAGACGUCCAACCGACCCAGCCACCCAGGCGCCCCCAGUUGUUUUAUUUUUAAUGACACAGCAAUGCUAUUUGUGGAAUAUGAUGUAGUGGCUAUGCUCUUCUGGUGUACCAGCUCAGCUAAUACAUGGAAAAUAAAAGACAUAUUAAAUUGUACUUUACGAAGGCAACCUCAUAUACAAGAGAUGUGUAGUUUCUUGUAAGCAAAAUUGCUACCGAGGCAUAAUUGUGCCAUAAAAUAUCGAGGGUUGUCUCUUAAGAUUCUUGGAGCCUGAAAAAUGAUCUAUCAAGAGUAAAAAGAGGUCAGAAAGAAAGAGAGAUAUGUAUAGUUUUACUUAACAUGAAAAAGCAUAUUUAGAUAUUAUUUUAAAAUUGGCUUAAAAUAAUGUACAGCGCCAAUUACAGAAAGAGAAACUUGCAACUAUUCCUGAAGAGAUAGGGAAAAGUGUAAGAAAAACAAUGAAUAAUGAACCAGAGAAUUACUCUAGGAGAGCAGAAAGGGUGUUUUAUAUCUCAGGGGUAUAAAAAUGGGGAUACAGAGAGCACUGGGCUGUUGUUAAGCAAAAUGGUCGAGUAAUAUUUCAAAGUGAGUAAAACUGAUUAAAGAACCUAAAUUUUUUAUUUGCUUGCCACCAAUUUGUAGAAGUAUAAGAGGUUUGGGGAAAUUUCAGGGAAAAUGUAAGCCAGAUUAAUGGGGAAACCAAGAGAAAGUUUAAGGAUGCCUGCUUGUACAAGUCUGCCCCGGUAGCUCUAUUAGGAAUGAUGUCUUACUAUGAGGGCUGACCUCCUCAUUCAGAUCUUGAAAGGAUGUAUGUGCUUUUCUCUGUACCAUUAGAUUUACUUUUCUAAGACAUACAGUCUAGGCAGACCCUCUUAUCUUUGGGGAGAAUUUGCCUCAAGUGACUAUUAGCCAUAAGAAAUGUGUUUAGGACUAUGACAAGACGUCAAAGUCCCUCUGAGAUCUAGAUAAAUUUCUAGGGUAUCAUUUAUCCUCUCAAUGGAAAGGUUGGUGCUUAUAAUUUGUUGCUAUGGCUGCUAUAUACAAAGAAAUUUACAUUUAAAGAUUUUAAAAGAGAUACACAAACACUUUAAGCAUUGUCUUUGGCUCAGCUCCUCAGGUCGAAACACAAGCAGUCAGAUUUGUGCAUCUGAUUCAUCGUAUUGCUCCAAUCUGAGUGAGUCAUACACUCGGUCAGCUCUGUCAAGGAACAGAAGGUUUCAUCCACAUUCAGAUUCUGGAAUAUCAUCCCUGGUAAAUACUUUUCAUUUGCUCUUUACCUAAUGCGAAGUUCAUAAAAUGUACUUUAUCUUGCAUUGAACUUUUAAAAUUUAAACCCAAGUUAGUUAACAUAUAGUGUAAUAAUGGUUUCAGGAGUAGAAUUUAGUGAUUCAUCACUUACAUAUAAUACCCAGUGCUCAUUCAACAAGUGCCCUCCUUAAUGUCCAUCACCCAUUUAGCCCAUCCCCCCCACCCCACACCGCUCCAGCAACCCUCAGUUUGUUCUCUGUAUUCAAGAGUCUCUUAUGGUUUGUCUCCCUGUUCUUAUUUUUACUUCCCUUCCCUUAUGUUCAUCUGUUUGUAUCUUAAAUUCACAUAUGUGUGAAGUCACGUGAUACUUGUCUUUCUCUGACUGACUUAUUUCACUUAGCAUAAUACACCCAAGUUCUAUCCACGUUGUUGCAAAUGGCAAGAUUUCAUUCUUUUUGCUUGCCAAAUAAUAUUCCACUGUGUGUGUGUGUGUGUGUGUGUGUGUGUGUGUGUAUUUAUAUAUACCACUUCUUUAUCCAUUCAUCAGUUGAUGAACAUGUGGUCUCUUUCCAUAUUUUGGCUAUUAUCAAUAGUGCUGCUAUAAACAUCAGAGUGCAUGUGCCCCUUUGAAUCAGCACUCCUAUAUCCUUUGGAUAAAUACCUAGUAGUGUAAUUUCUGGGUCAUAGGGUAGUUAUACUUUUUAAUUUUUUGAGGAACCUCCAUACUGUUUUCCAAAGUGGCUGCACAAGUUUGCAUUCCCACCAGCAGUUCAAAAGUAUUCCUCUUUCUCCGCAUCCUCACCAGCAUGUCAUUGCCUGAGUUGUUAAUUUUAGCCAUUCUGACAGAUGUGAGGUGGUAUCUCAUCGUGGUUUUGAUUUGCAUUUCCUUGAUGAGUGAUGUUAAGCAUCUUUUCACAGGUCCAUUAAUUAGCCUUCUGGAUGUCUUCUUUGGAAAAGUAUUCAUGUCUUCUGCCCAUUUCUUCACUGGAUUAUUUGUUUUUGGGGUGUUGAGUUUGAUAAAUUCCUUAUAGAUUUUGAAUACUAAUCCUUUAUCUGAUAUGUCAUUUGCAAAUAUCUUCUCCCAUUCUGUACAUUGCCUUUUAGUUUUGCUGAUUGUUUUCCUCACCGUGCAGAAACUUUUUAUCUUGAUGAGGUCCUAAUAGUUCAUUUUUGCUUUUGUUUCCCUUUCCUCUGGAGAUGUGUCUAGUAAGAAGUUGCUGUAGCUGAGGUUAGAGGUUGCUGCCUAUGUUCUCCUUUAGGAUUUUGAGGGCUUCCCGUCUUGCAUUUAUGGCUUUUAUCCACUUUGAGUUUAUUUUUGUGUCUGGUGUAAGAAAGUGGUCCAAGUUCACGCUUCUGCAUGUUGCUCUCCAGUUUUCCCAACACCAUAUGCUGAGGAGACUGUCUUUUUUCCAUUGGAUAUUCUUUCCUGUUUUGUCAAAGAUUAGUUGGCCUCUUACAUUGAACAUUUUUAAAUAAGUGUACAAAGUUCUUAAAUCUACCCUUGUAAUUGGGAAGGAAUGAAAUGUUGGCACCCCCAGUCCCAACUCAGAGGGGAAAUGGAAAGAAGCUGGAGUGGGAAGGAAGGCAAACCGGAGAUGAAUAGAAAAGGCAGUGACCACCAAAACAGAAAUGGCAUCCCUUCCUUUCCCCUGCUGAGUUCAAAUUCUGUCUCUGGCCUAAGAUGUAUCUCCUUUCUUUCUGGAAUGUCCUUUGUCCUCAAGAUGAAAUGGUUUCCUGCCAAACUCACCACUUCCAAGACUUUCCCCUCUGCCAUCUCAGUGGAACCGUAUGGGCUUUUCCCUCCUUUCCUUCAUUUAUAAUUGUUUCAUCUAGCCCCUGGAUAAAGAUGGGUUACUCAAAUAUCUGCCUCUCCAAUUAUAGGAAACGAGUUUUUCAAGCACAAAUGCCAUAUUUUAUUUAACUUUAUAUCCCCAGUGCCUGACACACAGCAGGGUACAGUAUAUAUUUUUGAAUAAAUGAGUGAAAUGAAAUGAAGCAAACCAACUUUGGAAAUAUUUAUUGAACCAAUGGAUUAAUCACUUCUUCCAUCAGAAUUAAGAAAGGAACAACAAAAAGGUAAGACACAAGUAUUCACUAUUCCUUUAGGAAGAAGCAAUGGUCACACAACUGCAGCAUAUUGACAACCUCACAUAAACAUAAACAGAGAAAUGUAAUAGCUCAUUUUCCUAUAAUAUCAGAAAUCCCCAAAUCAACCACAGAACUCCUUUAAAAAGGCAAACAGUAUUUUGUACAAAAUUAGAUGUUGGUUGAAAAAUGGAAACUUUCUUCUCAAAUACAGCUUUAACUUAGAUUCUUCUUUUUCCAGUAAGAUCAUCAGGAAAUAGCACAAAAAGGCAAUGGGGUAUGGCAACUCCAGGGAAUUUAACUUCUAAUAUAUUUUUAUUCUGUGAUAGAAGCAAGAAAAAACAAUCCAAAAGCACAUUGGAAAUUGGGAACGAAGCUUCCAUAAACAUGUGAACUCAACAGCCAAGAAUAGUCCAGGGAUCACAUUCCUCAAUAAUCUAAAAUGUUUCUUGGUCUUUUAAAUAAUAUUUCCAAAGAAUGAGUGAAUUCCUUAAAAUCAUAUUAGCAAAUCCUCAGAUUAUCUCAAAGAAUUGCUCAAGCGUUCAUUAGCUUUUUAGCUUUUUGCUAUCAAUAAGGUAGAGAGAUUUUGUUACUCUAUUUUUAAAUGAAGAUAUGGAGGUAUUUACUAGAACAGCCAUGGUCAGUAGUGAGUAAGCAAUGAAGAUAAAAAAAAAAUCAAAGCUAAAUGAUUAUUAAAAAGCCACCUCUUAUCAAUUUCUUCUGAGUCGGCAUGUUCCAAAUUCUGCUUCACAAGAUGCACGAGACCCCCGUGCUGCUUCAAAAAUAAAAGUUUUUAUGGUUUAAAAAGUCCAGGGGAACACUUUGUGAGUAGAGACUCACAGUGUAUAUUAGCAAAUAAUGGCUCUGCAGAGUCCUGUAGCAAAGGGAAAUGCUUCACUUAGUUCAGUCCAGAGCCUCAGAAGCUUAUUCAGUGGUGGAAAUUUUUUUUUUUAUGUUAGUAUUAGUCACACAAAUUUACAGCUCAAGCAAAACAUAAGCUAUGUGCAAUGCUUCUCUGUGAGAUGAAAGUGGUUGUUCCAAAUACUCUAAUGACAUUUCUUUGUAUCAAAUAUUCUGGGUUUGUUUACGUGUACAACACUGGCUAACAGAAGAAUGAAUGUAUGGUGUCUGUAUUUAACAGAACACUCUUUUCCGUGUAAUAUGCCUUUUCAUUUGUGUUAACUUUGAGACUAUCAUAUACCAUAUAAGAUACAGGGAAUUUUGAUUGACUACAACCUCCAUAAUGGUAAACAAUAAAAAAUUGCCCCAAAUAUGAUGUUGGCACAAAGUCUGGUUGGUAAUACACUGUCCAGAACAAGGAAGAUGACCAGACCUACAAUAUUUCUUUCAAUACUGGCUACACAUUUUAAGAACAAUGUCAAUAAAUUAGAACUCUUUCCAAGGAGAAUCAUAUAAUGAUGUGUCAGCUAUGAUCUGUGAGUAAUAACGGUACGACUUAGGAAGAAGAUGACAAUCGUUACGAAACACUUAAAAUAGUAGCCACGUGUGACGUCUAUGGAGCCUCAAAAGGCAGAACUUUGACAAUUGAAGCAAGUUAGAGAGGCUUGGGGUCCCGUAUAAUAACGAGCCGCCAACAAUUAGAACUGUUAUAAAACGGAAAAGGGAAUGAGAUCUCUCAAUCUAAAUAAAUCAGGUAGUUUCAUUUUAUAUUUUUACCAAGCAUUUUAAAUUUGGUACAAUAAACCAAUAUUUGACUAUUCCUUUAUAUCCUAUCAAAUUUUAUAAGUGUACUAGUGUGACUGCAAAGAAUUGUUAUCUGUAGCCCCUAAUAUACAUUCAAUAAAUAUUAAAGAAUGAUUUAUCAGAGGUGCUGUAAAGCGGAUUCAUGAAUGGGUAUACGUAUGUAUCACUAUUGUCAUUUAUCACCAGAUGUAAAUCAGUUGCAGGUGUUGGAGAUGCUAAUCUGUAUAAGAAGACAUAAUUUAAAAUGAACUAAAAUGACUUCUAUAAGGACACCGUCAGGUAUUUGCAGUUCAAUGUGGCUGAAUGUUUGGCGAUGAUCUGUAUUACUUUUACACAUAAAAGUACAUGAAUCGCAUAUGACCAGAUGCUAUUUCUCUUCUUGUUUUAAAGCUUCCAUCAGACUCCUUUAAGUUCCUCACUUGGCACAAGGUAGAACAACAUGACAUUCAAGGAAGUCAGCUGCGUUGCCCAAGAAUAAGAGAAGGUAAAGAACAAAUGUAUUUGUUCUUUGUGUACAUGCUCUGAGUUGAUUGUAUCUGUGGAUUAGAAACAUUACUUGGGGAAACAAAUAUAUUACUUGGAGGUAGACAAAUUUUCUUUAUCAAGACCAAAGAAUUAUUAAUAUAGUUAGUGAAGCCACUUUAAAGCACGGUCACAUAUCUGGUUAUAUAAAUAAUGAAUGUUCAGUGUUAAAUACUAGAAAAAUAGAAAGAUGAAAAUGAGCUUGUAAUUCAAUGAUACACAAAUAACCACUGUGAUUUAUUUUGUUUCUGUUUUGCCUUUUUUUGAAAAAUAUAUUCACAUACUUCUUCACGGAAUUGUACAAAAAAAUUGUAUCUUGAGUUUUUUUGCUUAUCUCGUUAUUGGGAGCAUUUCUUCCAUGUUGUUAAAUAUUACCCAAAACAUGUUUUUUUUUUUUUUUAAUUUUUUUUUUCAACAUUUAUUUAUUUUUGGGACAGAGAGAGAGAGAGCAUGAACGGGGGAGGGGCAGAGAGAGAGGGAGACACAGAAUCGGAAACAGGCUCCAGGCUCUGAGCCAUCAGCCCAGAGCCUGACGCGGGGCUCGAACUCACGGACCGCGAGAUCGUGACCUGGCUGAAGUCGGUCGCUUAGCCGACUGCGCCACCCAGGCGCCCCCCAAAACAUGUUUUUUAAUGGUCAUUUAUCUUUCCAUCACAUGGAUAUUACUAAAUAUAUUUAACCAGUGAUCUUUGUUGGAAUUUUAUUAUUUACAAUAUUUAAUGAUCAUGAAUGACAUUGUCACUUUGAUGAAUCACUUUAACCUGAUUUACUUCUAUCAUUGGUUUUUAAAACAUCAAUUGGGAAUCUAAAUAAACCAGGGAGUUUCAUUUUAUAUUUUCACUAAGCAUGUUAAAUUUGGUAGAAUAAACUAAUGUUAUUCUAUUCCUUCUCAUUCUGUCAGACUUUACAAGUGCACUACUGUGACAGUAUGAAGAAUUGUUAUCUGUAGCCCCUAAUAUACACAAUGUUUAAUUUUUAUAACUUUUUUUUUUAAUUUUUUUAAUGUUUAUUUACUUCUGAGAGAGAGAGACAGACAGACAGAGUGCAAGUGGGGGAAGGGGCAGAGAUAGAGGGAGACACAGAAUCCAAAGCAGGCUCCAGGCUCCGAGCUGUCAGCACAGAGCCCGAAGCCGGGCUCGAACUCACGAAUAGUGAGAUCAUGACCUGAGCUGAAGUCUGACGCUUAACCGACUGCACCACCCAGGAGCCCCAAAUUGUUAUAGCUUUCAAUGGAUUCUAUAUUAUGUAAGAAUAAGCACCAUGCAUUUCUCAUGUCUCUUUUGCAUAUCCCAUAAGCUGAUGAAAUAAUAUUAGACAUAAUUUCGGCUGCAGUGAAUAUUUAGUCAUUACAAAACAUCAAAUAUCUUGGCUAUCUUCCAUCUGUAUUUACAGAUUUGCAGUUAUAUUGUGUACUGUACCAUUGUAAUACUGAUUUAGAAGAAGUUGCUUUAAAUAUAUUCGCCUGCUCGCUUCCCUCUCCCAGUAGCAUCACUUUACCACACAAUGCCUUUCUUCUUUCACUCAAAUUCAGUUGACAAAGACAGACUAAAAUAGCAUCAUUUUCUGAAACUUUGGGUAAAAUAUGUUCUUAUGUUUUAACUCUGUCAGCUUUGUUUGCCGCUAAGCACUGACUCCUAGUUUUAAAAUAUUAGUAGAUAGUACUACUAGAGGUAAACUCAAGCUGCUCUAUGGGGACUGAGAGAGAAUACUUUUCAAAGAGCAAGAAAUUAUGGGGAUUUAGGAAAGUGGGAGGCCAAAGGAAGUAGAGACCGUAUGUGUCACAUGAAUAAGGAGUCCAUCAGUAAAAGGAAGAGAGGUCUUACCAGGGUUCAAAAUGGGCAGCUUCAGCUGGUUCUUAGACUUCAGUGUGUGGACAGUUUACCUGGAGGCCUGUGGAAAAAGCACUUUUCCAGGCCCAACUCUCAACGAAUCUGAUGUGGUUAGCGGGAAGUGGGGCCCAGGAAUCUGCAUUUGUAAACUUAUCAGGAAAUUCUGUUGCAGAUGAUCGGAGGGCCAUACUGUAAAAAUACUAGUUUCGGAAGUCUGGAGGGAAGAAAUUUGAAUAGACAGUGGAAAGACUGAUACAGUAAGGGUGCUGGCAUGUGUGUGUAUAUGUGUGUGUGUGUGUGUGUGUGUGUGUGUGUGUGUGUGUGCUUGUGCUGGUAGUGGUGGUGGUUGAUGAUUGUGCCACAGUGAGGCAAAAAUAAAUUGUACUCUGAGCAUGGAUAGAGAGUUGAGGUUUAGAGAGAACUGAACUGAAGACACUGAGGGAUGACAGGGGAAUCAGAUGUAGGAGUAAACUGACAAUGAGUAUGUGUAAAGAGAGCACGGUGGCCUCUCUCCUUCCCCGGUUUAAGCGCCAGGUCAUGUGCUAAGGUCAUCAGUCAACAAAACUAAUCCCGCAAAGGGACCACAGUGGCCAUUCAUGCAGAGGAAUCAUCGCUCUGCAGAGAUAAGGCACAUUUUCCUUCCAUAGACCAUUAACAACACCCAAUCUCUUGCAAGUGCCUAGUUGUAAAAGGAAUGGAGCAUUAUCUAGGGGAUUGAAAACAUGGGAAAAUCUCAUCACCUCAAACCGUGAAGGAAAUAGAUGUCCCUUGUUCACUGUCCUUAAUUUAGUUCAAGUUUUGUGUGUGCAUAUGUGAGAUAGACAAGUGCUUUUCAAAAGCAUUCUAGUAACAAUUACCCUUCUUCUAGAUUAGAUCCUGAAACACCCAUCCAAACUACUUCAGUUCAUCUCAGUUGCCCCAAUUGUACAUCCGGAAAGAGUUCUUAAGAAAAGAAAGGUUAUCUUGCGUGUGAUAAACAGCAAUUUCCCAAAGCUUUGAUGGCCAGAUCAAGACUGACUUGACUCCUCCCAAUUAAAUGAAGCAAAAGAGCCAACUGUUAGCAGAAUUCUUUCAGAUGUGGAUGCCUUCUAUUUGAAAAUCCCUCAGCAAGUCAAUUCAGUCACUGCUGCUAAGUUACAAAUCCAGUGAGGGGACAAAGUACCAGCUCAGAGAUGGCAGGUAAAAGUCGACAUUCCAACGAUGUCAGAUAUUCCAGACUGUAGUUCUCAACUGCUAAGAUAUAUCUUCAAUUACCAACCAAGUCCGAGUUUAAAAAAGAAAGAAUCCAAUUUAAUAUAAUUCCUCACAGUGGAAGUGACCUUUGGCUUCCAACUUCAAAGAGAUCUUUGAAAGCUGUUUUAAAAAAAAUAAUAAUUGAAAGAACAGAAGAUCAAUAGAACUCAAACAAACAAUAUAGGGCAGAGUUUAAUAAGUCUGGGGAUAUCUCUUGCACAAAGCAAGCUACCAAAUUUCGGGUGGGUGUAUUAAAGAUAAUAGAGCCCAAGUUCUGCCCAAUUAGGUGAUUAUCCAGUUUUUUCCAGUUCUGUGACUUUUAAUUCCAAUCAGCUUAAUCAAUGAGGAAGAAAAUUUAACACAAGGAUAUUUUAUGUGUAAAUUGGUUGGGAUACUUCAGGGUUAUGUGAUUUCCUGGGUGGAAACUGUACAGUUCAUUAUAAGAGAAAUACCAGAAAGGUCAGGUUGCACCUAAUCUUCCACCUGCACCUGAUGAAAGAAGAGAUGUUUGUGUCAAAAUAAUGAAAUAUUGGACUCUUUUAUUGCCUUCAUAAAUCCUUCACAAAUGGACUCAUUAUCUCCCAGCAAAGCCUGGACAAAACUGCCACAAAAGCAAAGUUUGUUCCUGAUGCCUUUAGUCACCUUUUCUUUAGUAUAUCUCUUUCUUUUCACCUGUGAAAUAAGAAUCAUGCAUUCCAGAAAAAUGGCAUGGGGGAAAUGUACACAAAUGAUUCCAGGUAGGAUUCAUAGAAACGUAUUGUGGAGUGGGAGGGAUUUGAAAUCACUGAGCUUAGGAUUGCUGUCAGGGGCCCAGUUAGCAUCAUAAUAGACUGUAGUUUUCCUGGGCAACACGAUAGAGUUAUACUUGCUAAUAAAGAAAUACAUUCUAAUGGAAUUGGAAAUCGGUAUUUUUAUAAAGCAGUAUGAACUUCAAACAAACAUAACUUCUCAUCAUAUUCAUCUCACGUUGGGCCCUUGAUUCUAGUCUUUCCUGUAUUUUUGCUGACAUGGAAAACUGAAGCUCAGAAAAUUAAAAUUAGUCAUCUGGAGAUACACAAUCACCUAGCACCCAACCUCAGACUGGAAACAGGAUAUCCUUUCAUUAACCAUGGAAAUUUUGUGCAAACCUGAUUUGGAGGACAACAGGGUUGGGAAAUAGUGGGAAUGAGUGUGGAAAUGGAGAUUGAGAUAAGAUUGUCAAAAACUUUGGGGCACUUGAGUGACUCAGUCGGUUGUCUGAUUUUGGCUCAGGUCAUGAUCUCCCAGUUUGUGGGUUUGAGCCCUGCAUUGAGCUUUGUGCUGACAGCUCAGAAUCUAGAGCCUGCUUCAGAUUCUGUGUCUCCCUCUCUCUCUGCCCCUCCCCCACUCAUGCUUUGUCUCUCUCUGUCUCUCAAAAAUGAAUAAACAUUAAAAAUUUUUAACUAAAAAAAAAAGAUUGUGGAAAACCUUGCUUGACAAGCCAGGAUUUUCCAUCUCUAAUUGGUAGGCAGUAAGAAAAUUCUGAAAUGUUUUCAACAUGGAAGUGUGGCAAAAAGCUGUGUUUCUAGAAGGCUAGAAAGGUCUAUCAUUUAUAUUGAAGGAGUGAAGAUUUCAAACAAGGAGAUCCACAAGAAAGUAGUUAUUGUUCAGGGAGGAGAUAUGAGGAUCUAGACAUUGAAAAGGAAGGGGACAGAUUCUCCAGCAGAAAGGUUAUAGAACCAAGUGGCUAACUGAGUUGAGAAACAAAAGAGAGGGAAAGUCACGAGUGACUUCAUAUCCCCAAAGAGAAAAUUAUGUGAGACUAAAGUUACUCUACUGGUGAUUUUCUUAUGUGAACAAGAAAUAAUUUAUGUAAGGUUAAAAGUUAGCUCAUUUUUUUUACUGCUCACACUAUUUGGGCAUAUUACAGACGAACUCAUGUUUUCCUCAAUUUUGAUAUCUCGUGAGAGUUUAAAAAAACUGGCCAAAUGUCAAGAGAAGGGUGCCUGGAUGGCUCAGUGGGUUAAGCAUCCGACUCUUGGUUUCAGCUCAGGCUAUGAACUUACAGUUCAUGAGUUUGAGCCCUGCAUCAGGCUCUGCACUAACAGUGAGGAGCCUGCUUGGGAUUCUCUCUCUCUCUCUCUCUCUCUCUCUCUCUCUCUGCCCCUCUCUCUUGCUCUCUCUCUCAAAAAAAAAAAAAACCACAAAAAACAAAAACAAAAAAAUCUCACAAAUAUCAAGUGAAGAUGUCAGUCCUGCUGCCCUAAACCUAUUUCCAAGAUCUCACCUUGUGAUUUUUGCCCAGGACCCUCCACAGAAGAGUUGCUCUUCAGACAGGAGGAGUGUGUCUUACCCGCUCGGAAAAGAGUCCUUGAAAAAAACAAAUGGGAAACAUGGCUACAAGAAAACUGGGAGGACUGCACGGUGAGAGCUUAAAAGACAGAAAAGGGUCUCUUCUCCACAUUGAUUCUGUUAUGACUGCCCCCCCCCAUUUUAAGGGCAAUUGCUAGCAUAAAUAUCAAAACUUUCAGCAUUUCCUCGGAGUUUUCUCUAAAACUAGUGGCGUAUGGGCUUCUCUAUCUCUUUGUUCACCUCUUCUUCAUCAUGACAUGUUACUUAUUUUCUACCCUGUGUCUUAUCCUAAUAUUGCUCAAUUUUGGAGAAGUUUAAAAUACCCCAGAAUGAAAUUGUUCCGUUUGACAAUAAUGAAUAUCAAAGGGCUGGACAACAUUCCUUAUCAGUGAGUUUAUGAUGCCAUCUAGAAUCCCUUGAACAAUGCAUUACGCCAAAAAUUUUCAUCAGCUGGAGCAGCCAGCUUGGUCUGAACACAACUAUCCUGGAACAAACAAAACUUUUGCAGUGAAAAACAGGAGCUGUGAUUUCUUGGUGCUGAAAAUGACCCAACUGAUGGAGCCACUAUCAUUGAAAACAGUGCCUGCAAUGGGCUGUGAUCCUUCAAGCCUCUAAUUCUGGCCUGAUCAAGUCAUCUUGGGCAGUAAACACGUAAAUGGGAAGGCUGUGUUGGUAGCAAUGAAAGGGCAAAUCAAUGUCUCAACAGAGCGGGAUGCCAAUAUUUUUGUUUCUUAGAGUGACCAAAUUGUAUGUGAAGAAUUUAGGAAGCCUUCCAGAAAUAAGGCUGAGUUUAAAAGCUGCUCAGUGGGGCCUCUUGAUGGCCUCUUUUGUUUCACAGAUUGGCCAUUUAUGUUUUAGAAUUAUGGAAUUAGGAGGUGGGAAGGAGCUUUGGAGAGGGUCUGGUCUAAACCCUUUCCUUUCAAAAAGGAGAGGGACGUUCAGAAAGAGAAUUGAUUUGCCAAAAGUUACAUAUCUUGGUAGUGGAAGAUAUAAAAAUAGAAUAUUGUUUCCCCACACAGUGCUUUCUUUUCUUUUCAAAAGUAAAGUUUUCAUAUAUAAUGGAUGGAUACAUUCUACUCUUAAAAAUUGACACCAUAGGCCUAUUUAUUUAAAAAUUUAACUAAUACACCUGAAACUUUGACCUCCACUCCCAGAACUAUCUUUAGAGGUAAUCAUUUCAGUGUAUAUAUCCAUUUAUUCUUUAUAGCUGCCAUUUAAACCAUGGAUAUACUGCAAAGGCCAAUGGAGACUUCAUCAUAAAUUAUCAUAGAAAAUUUAAUUGGCCUUGAGAUAACUGUAGUCUAGGAGAAUGGCUAAAGAAACUCUAACUAACAUAGAAAACUUAAUUGAGACAUAGUGGUCCAAAAAAUGCCUCUCUGAGGUGGUGGCAUUCAAUAUAAAAUGAUAGAUAUAAUCUUUUAUCAUUUCUUAAGUUUUAUGUUAGAAUUAAGAUGUUUUAUACUUUUGGAAAAUGGAACUUAAAGUGUCAAAGUUUAUAAUGUUUAAUGCCUAAAAAUAUCAAGACUUUAAUGAUCUUUUUAAAGAUAGAGAUACCUAUAUUUCUUUAAAAUAUUAAAUCAUUCUGCUUCAUUUUUUUUAAAAAGGGAUGGCCAUUUGAUUCAAUAAUUUUAUUGACAGAACUUGAUGGUAAAAUUGCGGAAACAAAAAAGUUAAGUUGACUUUUAGGAAUAGAGUUUACAAGAGCAAUGCUCUUGUAAAACCACCAAAAGUGGUUUUAAUUUUCUUUAAAUUGAAGUUGACUGCUGUUAAAAGCAAACAUAAAGUAUCCACUAUCUGUGAA